GACGAACGCUGGCGGCGUGCUUAACACAUGCAAGUCGAACGGAAAGGCCCUGCUUUUGUGGGGUGCUCGAGUGGCGAACGGGUGAGUAACACGUGAGUAACCUGCCCUUGACUUUGGGAUAACUUCAGGAAACUGGGGCUAAUACCGGAUAGGAGCUCCUGCUGCAUGGUGGGGGUUGGAAAGUUUCGGCGGUUGGGGAUGGACUCGCGGCUUAUCAGCUUGUUGGUGGGGUAGUGGCUUACCAAGGCUUUGACGGGUAGGCGGCCUGAGAGGGUGACCGGCCACAUUGGUACUGCGAUACGGCCCAGACUCCUAUGGGCGGCAGCAGUGGGGAAUAUGGCACAAUGGGCGCAAGCCUGAUGCAGCGACGCCGCGUUCGGGAUGACGGCCUUCGGGUUGUAAACCGCUUUCGCCUGUGACGAAGCGUGAGUGACGGUAAUGGGUAAAGAAGCACCGGCUAACUACGUG
rnacentral:rRNA from 1 species